rnacentral:sRNA from 1 species
GCAGGUGAAUGCAACGUCAAGCGAUGGGCGUUGCGCUCCAUAUUGUCUUACUUCCUUUUUAGAAUUACUGCAUAGCACAUAGUUAAUUCGAUACGCCGGCCUUAUCCGCCGGCUUUU